UCUAUAAAAAUACCGCUCGCCCGGCGGCCGCUAACCCUCUCAAAAACCCUAGCCUCCUUCGCCUCCUCCUCCUUCCUCCAUCUCCGGCGGCGGCAGCGACAAAUCUCCGACACCAUGAGGCCACCGGCACGCGGAGGACGCGGCGGGAGGGGUUUCGGCGGCAGGAGCGACGGCGGCGGCCGCGGGGGCAGGGGCUUCGGCGGGAGAAGCGAUGGCGGCGGCCGCGGCGGCAGGGGCGGCAGGGGAGGCAGGACGCCCCGGGGCCGUGGUGUCCGUGGCGGCGGUGGAAGGGGAGGGCCCGGCAUGAAGGGCGGGAGCAAGGUGGUCGUGGUGCCCCACAAGCACGACGGCGUCUUCAUCGCCCAGGCCAAGGAGGACGCGCUCUGCACCAAGAACAUGGUCGCCGGGGAGUCCGUCUACGGCGAGAAGCGCGUCUCCGUCCAGAACGAGGACGGGACCAAGGUUGAGUACAGGGUGUGGAACCCCUUUAGAUCAAAGCUGGCUGCAGCUGUUCUCGGUGGCGUCGACAACAUCUGGAUUGCUCCUGGUGCUCGUGUGCUUUAUCUUGGUGCUGCCUCCGGAACGACUGUGUCUCAUGUGUCUGAUAUUGUUGGACCGACUGGGUUGGUGUAUGCUGUGGAGUUCUCACACCGGAGUGGCAGGGAUCUCGUCAACAUGGCCAAGAAGAGGACCAACGUGAUUCCCAUCAUUGAGGAUGCUAGGCACCCUGCAAAGUACCGCAUGUUGGUUGGCAUGGUUGAUGUUAUCUUCUCUGACGUUGCACAGCCUGACCAGGCUAGGAUCUUGGCCCUUAAUGCUUCAUACUUCUUGAAGAAUGGUGGUCACUUUGUCAUUUCAAUCAAGGCCAACUGUAUUGACUCCACCCAGGCUCCUGAGGCCGUGUUCGCUGCCGAAGUUGAGAAGCUGAAGCUUGAGCAGUUCAAGCCUUCGGAGCAGGUGACCCUGGAGCCCUUCGAGCGUGACCACGCCUGUGUUGUCGGUGGCUACAGGAUGCCCAAGAAGCCGAAGGCGACUUGAAGGAAAUAGUUUAAUAUUUCGUCGUGCGUUGUGACGGUCUGUCGUUAAUUAGUACUAGGUCCUAGGUAUGGUGAUAUGAUCAGACAAAGUUGGUUCUAUAGCUACUUGGUUUAUAUCGUGUUGGUGAGUGGCCCAAUGCAAUGUUGCAUGAUUGUUAGCAAUUGUUGACUUGUUGGCAGUGUUAUCCAUUUUGUUAGGCUUAUUAAAGCCGGCUGAUAACCUUAGCAGCCAGCAUUGAUCUGAAAUAUAGGUAAAUUACUUGGCUUGUGUGGAA